GCGGAAGUAGCGAAAUUGGUAGACGCACCAGAUUUAGGUUCUGGCGCCGCAAGGUGUGAGAGUUCAAGUCUCUCCUUCCGCA
rnacentral:tRNA from 1 species